CUUACUGGGUUGUCAAUUCCUUUGGAUCAUAACGUUCUAUUCUACACAGCUUCCUGGUCCAAACUAUCACUGUCGUGAGGGUUCAAAGCUUGCCACGCUUCCUCCUCCUGACAACAUUUUACAAUCACUAUUGAUUGUUCCUCGUGGUGUGCUUUAUGGUUGUGGUGAUCUAU